rnacentral:ribozyme from 1 species
UUUUUUUUUUUUUUUUUUUUUUUUCUUCUU